rnacentral:misc_RNA from 1 species
UACAGAGGCCCCAAGCGUUAUCCGGAAUUAUUGGGCGUAAAGGGUGCGUAGGCGGCUUAGUUAGUCUGUUGUUAAAGACCGGGGCUUAACUCCGGUUUCGCAAUGGAAACGGCUAAGCUAGAGAAUGAGAGAGGUCGGCGGAACUCAUGGUGUAGGGGUGAAAUCCGUUGAUAUCAUGAGGAACACCGAAGGCGAAGGCAGCCGGCUGGCUCAUUUCUGACGCUGAGGCACGAAACCCUGGGUAGCGAAAGGG